AAGAGUCGAGUAUUAUCCAUCCAUGUCAGGCGUUAAAAGCGUUCGUUC
rnacentral:sRNA from 1 species